rnacentral:rRNA from 1 species
UGUGCAAAGGUAGCAUAAUCAAUUGGCUUGUAAUUUAAGUCUGGUAUGAAUGUAGUUUUAGGCUAAAGCUGUCUCUUUAUAUUAAUUGGAAUUUACUUAGCCGGUGAAAAUGCCGGCAGUUAAAUAAUAGACGAGAAGACCCUAGAAAUUUUGUGAAAGGUACAAGUAGUAUGUAUUGGAUUUUGUUGGGGCGACAGAGUAACAAUUUAAACUUACUCUAUUUAAUGUGAAUUAGUUAUGGAAGUGUAAAUUACUCUAGGGAUAACAGCAUAAUUCUAUUAGUGUUUGUGACCUCGAUGUUGGACUAGGAAAGAUAAUAUUCAGAAGAUAUUAUUAUAGGCUCUGUUCGCGCCGAUAACUCCUACAUGAUCUGAGUUCAAAUCGA